UGAAGUAAUGCCUUUACAAUUACAGAAGUAUGUGUGCUUUGAAAUCUUGAGAAAGUCACUGCUGGGCUCUCACGUCUGCAGGCUGUGGCGAGGGAAGAGUCUGCUGCUGUGGGCCAGUUUGCAGACCACUUGCUUCCCAGCCUCCUGAGCCUAGUGUACGAUCCCAUGCCACAUGUGAGGGUUCUGCAGGCCAAGGUCCUGUGAACAUAGUGCUGGAGAAGGGUGUGUGGGCCUUGCUGGCUUCUCUGCUAACCCUGGCUGUGGCAGGUGGCAGCUAGGUCUGCAAAGAAUUACAGUGGGCUGUUUAAGCCUGAGUGAGUACAAGCUGUAUGUCUACUGGCUUGUCUCCCCACCAUAGUGUAGGCCCUUUGUUCAUUUCCAGCCUUCCCUGUCCUGCUCCCCACACAUCAGUUCUCGUGAACUACAGAGCGAGAUGCACAGAAAGGCUUAGUUACUCUAACUUUUAAAACAGGUGCCACUACUAGCAGUCCACCAUUAAAAUCUCAGCCAUACUUUUGGAAUGAGAUAUUUUAUCAUCUGAAAGGACUUAAGUGAAAUGAUAUUUUUGGAAAAAUUUUCCAGGGUCUUGACGUGGCCUAAAAGACAACAAAACUAGGAUGUGUUAUACAACACAGUUCAUGGCACAUGGGACUCCAGCUUUUCUCUCCUUAGCCUGUUUUGGAAAUGCUAGGAACCAUCAUCUUAAAGUUGUUGAAGAGACUUGGCUCUGCAGUUGGCCCAGGACCAAGAAGUUUCUUCGAUUUUUGCUUCCUUAGAACCAAGGAUGCAGAGUGCUUGCUAUAGACAAGUCGCCCGGGGAGGCCUCUGAUGCACAUGUGGCUUGUACUUGAAGAGAACCCAGUUAGUUGUAUAAGAGCUUCUAGAUGCAGCCUCUUUCAGGUGAUGGCAGCUAGUGCCCCACCCCCACACCGCCCCCACCCCCAGACCCGGUCAGUGGCAGUUUGUAGAGAGGUUGUUGUGGAUCCAGGUACCAAUGGCGCUCGGGCUUCCUCAUCAUCAGCUGUCGCCAGCAGUUUGUUUUUUAGGAAAGACUCGUUAUAGAAAAUCUCCCCUUAGAGCCUAGUACAGGAGCUUCCGGGACCUGGAAGGCUGAAGCAGGGAGAUCAAAAGUUCAAACCUAAGAUAGAGAAUUCUAGGCCUGUACGAGCUACUUAACAAAACGCUGUUCAAGAAAAUGGAGCAUAAAUACAGCUCCGCUCGCCAAUAAAGUAAUUUAGUAGAAGCUUGUAAGUAUUCUCUGGGCUUCGUGCCCUAAUCCUCUCCCAGAAAAUGGAGUUCAUGGCACUGUGUUUGGUCUCCAGCUGAAGUACUGUACGUAUGUAACUAACUUGACAGGAAGAGCUAUGGAUGUAACAUCAGCUCUGCAGGAGUAAACAUGUCACGUGAAAUCUUGUUCUGCUUUGGAUUGCUGCUGACUCCACUCAUCUUACGGACUUUUGAAGUGUCCUUGUGACAGCGGCCUAGUAAAGAACUGUUACCCCUCUGUUGUGUAGCACCUCUCGAUACUGCACUUUAUCAACUGCUAUGCUUGCAGUAUCUUCUCCAGCCCUCACCCUUCCCCACUUCAGAAACUGUGAAAAUGUGUGUUGGUCUUUGACAGUAGCUAGUGUCAGAAGGUUGUUUAAUGUGGACAUGGCCAAGGCCUGGGGGUUGGGGGAGGGACUGAUGGCUGGGAUACAUGGAUACUGGUUACACUUCAGACUCCCAAAGAAGAAAAAAGAAAAGAAAAAAGGAAAAAAAAGAAAAGGAAAAGGAAG
rnacentral:lncRNA from 1 species